rnacentral:rRNA from 1 species
AGUGAACGCUGGCGGUAGGCCUAACACAUGCAAGUCGAACGGCAGCACAGGAGAGCUUGCUCUCUGGGUGGCGAGUGGCGGACGGGUGAGGAAUACAUCGGAAUCUACCUUUUCGUGGGGGAUAACGUAGGGAAACUUACGCUAAUACCGCAUACGACCUACGGGUGAAAGUGGGGGACCACAAGGCCUCACGCGAUUAGAUGAGCCGAUGUCCGAUUAGCUAGUUGGCGGGGGAAUGGCCCACCAAGGCGACGAUCGGUAGCUGGUCUGGGAGGGUGAUCAGCCACACUGUAACUGAGACACGGCCCAGACUCCUACGGGAGGCAGCAGUGGGGAAUAUUGGACAAGGGGCGCAAGCCUGAUUCAGCCAUACCGCGUGGGUGAAGAAGGCCUUCGGGUUGUAAAGCCCUUUUGUUGGGAAAGAAAUCCUGUCGAUUAAUACUCGGUGGGGAUGACGGUACCCAAAGAAUAAGCACCGGCUAACUUCGUGCCAGCCGCCGCGGUAAAAC